rnacentral:rRNA from 1 species
GACGAACCGUGCGAACGUUGUUCGGAAUCACUGGGCUUAAAGGGCGCGUAGGCGGGCUCGCAAGUCAGGGGUGAAAGCCCGCGGCUCAACCGCGGAAGCGCCUUUGAUACUGCGGGCCUCGAGGGGGGUAGGGGCGUGCGGAACUUCCGGUGGAGCGGUGAAAUGCGUAGAUAUCGGAAGGAACACCGGUGGCGAAAGCGGCGCGCUGGACCCCUUCUGACGCUGAGGCGCGAAAGCCAGGGGAGCAAACGGGAUUAGAUACCCCGGUAGUCCUGGCCCUAAACGAUGGGUACUAGGUUGUGGACUUACAUGGGUUCACAGCCGAAGCAAAAGUGCUAAGUACCCCGCCUGGGGAGUAUGGUCGCAAGGCUGAA